rnacentral:rRNA from 1 species
AUUGAACGCUGGCGGCAUGCCUUACACAUGCAAGUCGAACGGCAGCGGGGGAGAAGCUUGCUUUUCCUGCCGGCGAGUGGCGAACGGGUGAUUAAUACAUCGGAACGUGCCCUGUAGUGGGGGAUAACUAGUCGAAAGAUUAGCUAAUACCGCAUACGACCUGAGGGUGAAAGUGGGGGACCGCAAGGCGUCAUGCUAUAGGAGCGGCCGAUGUCUGAUUAGCUAGUUGGUGGGGUAAAGGCCUACCAAGGCGACGAUCAGUAGCUGGUCUGAGAGGACGAUCAGCCACACUGGGACUGAGACACGGCCCAGACUCCUACGGGAGGCAGCAGUGGGGAAUUUUGGACAAUGGGCGAAAGCCUGAUCCAGCAAUGCCGCGUGUGUGAAGAAGGCCUUCGGGUUGUAAAGCACUUUUGUCCGGAAAGAAAUGGCUCUGGUUAAUACCUGGGGUCGAUGACGGUACCGGAAGAAUAAGGACCGGCUAACUACGUGCCAGCAGCCGCAGUAA